AUUGAACGCUGGCGGCAGGCCUAACACAUGCAAGUCGAGCGAGCGGCGGAAGGGUGAGAAAUACAGGGGGACUGCUCGCUAGAGGGGGGUAACUACAGGAGACGGUAUCUACUACAGCCUCCUAUCGGAUAACCCAUAUGGGUUUAGCUGGUGGGUGAGGUAAUGGCUCACCUAGGCGACGAUCCCUAGCUGGUCUGAGAGGAUGAUCAGCCCAACUGGGACUGAGACACGGCCCAGACUCCUACGGAGGAAGCAGGGGGGAACAUUGCACAAUGGGCGCAAGCCUGAUGCAGCCAUGCCGCGUGGAUGAAGAAGGCCUUAGGGUUGAAAAGUCCUUUCAGUCGGGAGGCGUUACCGACAGAGGAAGCACCGGCUAACUCCGUGCCAGCAGCCGCGGUAAUAC
rnacentral:rRNA from 1 species